ACUUGUAGAUCCAGAGAAAGCCAAAGCUCUUAGUAAACACUUGCCAUCGUCAGAUAGUAUGUCUCUAAAAGUAGAUGUUGAGGCUCUUGAAAAUUCUCCUGGUGCUACGUACAUUCGGAAGAAGGGUGGAAAAGUUACUGGAGAUAGUCAACCAAAGGAACAAGGACAGGGAGAUUUGAAAAAGAAGAAAAAGAAAAAGAAGGGAAAAUUGCCUAAGAAUUAUGACCCAAAAGUUACCCCAGAUCCAGAAAGAUGGCUGCCAAUGCGAGAACGUUCUUACUACCGGGGAAGAAAGAAGGGUAAAAAGAAGGAUCAGAUUGGAAAAGGGACCCAGGGAGCAACUGCAGGAGCUUCAUCUGAACUGGAUGCCAGUAAAACUGUGAGCAGCCCACCCACCUCCCCAAGACCUGGCAGUGCUGCAACAGUAUCUGCCUCUACAAGUAACAUCAUACCCCCAAGACACCAGAAACCUGCAGGGGCUCCAGCAACAAAAAAGAAACAGCAACAGAAAAAGAAGAAAGGUGGAAAAGGUGGCUGGUGAUGAGAAUAUUCUUGUUGCAGGCUGUUUUUAAACUAGUGUCAGUGACACUAGGAAUAUAAUAAAGGUAACACAGCAAGAAGCACAGAACUGCUCCCUCUUCAUCUCCAUAUUUUCAUAAUUUCUUGUGUUUCAAAUAGGGAAACAUCUUCCUCAAAGUCUGCCUAGUGAGAUAUGGCCUACUGGUUGCCUCAUAGCUUUGUACAGAUUAUGAGGACUGAAAAUAAUUGGGCAUUUACCCAUCUUGGUAUCUGUUGUAUCCUUUAUUUGUGUGUGCUGAUUCAAUCUUUUUUCAGUUUCACAUACCUUAUCUAAGGUUUCCCAGGAUUGAAACAGAAACUAUUUCUACAAUUUCAGCUGGAGUCUGAAGAUACUUGUUUCUGUUCAAGUCCCACUUUAAAUUAUGUCUUAGGAGGCCUUAGGAGACUGAAAGUGGAAUCUUCUGAGCAUUCCUAAA